UACGUAGGGGGCAAGCGUUGUCCGGAUUUACUGGGCGUAAAGGGCGUGCAGGCGGUUUGUUAAGUCUAGGGUGAAAGCUCCCGGCUCAACUGGGGAGGGUCACGCGAUACUGUUCGACUCGAAGGCAGGAGAGGGUAGUGGAAUUCCCGGUGUAGUGGUGAAAUGCGUAGAUAUCGGGAGGAACACCAGUGGCGAAGGCGACUACCUGGCCUGUUCUUGACGCUGAGGCGCGAAAGCUAGGGUAGCAAACGGG
rnacentral:rRNA from 1 species